UACGAGUGCCCCAAGCGUUAUCCGGAAUCAUUGGGCGUAAAGGGUGUGUAGGUGGCGAUAUUAGUCUUUUGUUAAAGCCCCGGGCUUAACCCGGGAUCUGCAGAGGAAACGGUAUUGCUAGAGUGUGCGAGGGGCCAAUGGAACUCAUGGAGUAGGGGUGAAAUCCGUUGAUAUCAUGGGGAACACCAAAAGCGAAGGCAACUGGCUGGCGCAUUACUGACACUGAAACACGAAAGCGUGGGUAGCGAACGGG
rnacentral:rRNA from 1 species